AGCGAACGCUGGCGGCAGGCUUAACACAUGCAAGUCGAACGCCCCGCAAGGGGAGUGGCAGACGGGUGAGCAACACGUGGGAACGUACCCUUUGGUUCGGAAUAACUUGGGGAAACUCAAGCUAAUACCGGAUAAGCCCUUAUGGGGAAAGGUUUACUGCCGAAGGAUCGGCCCGCGUCUGAUGAGCUAGUUGGUGAGGUAAUGGCUCACCAAGGCGACGAUCAGUAGCUGGUCUGAGAGGAUGAUCAGCCAAACUGGGACUGGGACACGGCCCAGACUCCUACGGGAGGCAGCAGUGGGGAAUAUUGGACAAUGGGGGCAACCCUGAUCCAGCCAUGCCGCGUGAGUGAUGAAGGCCUUAGGGUUGUAAAGCUCUUUUACCCGGGACGAUAAUGACUGUACCGGGAGAAUAAGCCCCGGCUAACUUCGUGCCAGCAGCCGCGGUAA
rnacentral:rRNA from 1 species